rnacentral:rRNA from 1 species
UGGGGAAUAUUGCGCAAUGGGCGAAAGCCUGACGCAGCAACGCCGCGUGAGUGAUGAAGGCCUUCGGGUCGUAAAGUUCUGUCGGAGGGAACGAAUGCUCCUGAAGUUAACAGCCUCAGGAGGUGACGGUACCCUCAAAGGAAGCACCGGCUAACUCUGUGCCAGCAGCCGCGGUAAUACAGAGGGUGCAAGCGUUGUUCGGAUUUACUGGGCGUAAAGCGCGUGUAGGCGGGCUGGAAAGUUGGGGGUGAAAUCCCGAGGCUCAACCUCGGAACUGCCUUCAAAACUUCCAGCCUGGACUCAAGUAGAGGCAAGUGGAAUUGCGAGUGUAGAGGUGAAAUUCGUAGAUAUUCGCAGGAACACCAGUGGCGAAGGCGACUUGCUGGACUUGUAGUGACGCUGAGACGCGGAAGCGUGGGGAGCAAACAGGAUUAGAUACCCAGGUAGUCCCUGAGCGGGCUGGCAAGGCGCAU